UACGGAGGAUCCUAGCGUUAUCCGGAUUCAUUGGGUUUAAAGGGUGCGUAGGCGGACUGAUAAGUCAGCGGUGAAAUCCCACGGCUCAACUGUGGAACUGCCGUUGAUACUGUUAGUCUUGAAUGCAGAUGAUGUGGGCGGAAUAUGACAUGUAGUGGUGAAAUACUUAGAUAUGUCAUAGAACACCGAUUGCGAAGGCAGCUCACAAAACUGUGAUUGACGCUGAGGCACGAAAGCGUGGGGAUCAAACAGG
rnacentral:rRNA from 1 species